CACUGUGGUGGAACAGACCUCGCCAUGUGUUCUUGGAGGGGGCUGCUUGCCCGCCUCCUACUUUCUGACUAUGGCCCUGGGAUAUAUGGCAUUUGAAAACACUAUUUGUGCCCUGUGACAAAACGGGAGAUUCUGCACAAAUAUGUCUAUUGUCCAUAUUUUUUAUGAUUCCCUUUGUUUGUUGCACUGUCCCCCAUGUGUUUCAUCUGUGGGUUCAGCUGCAUAGACUAACAGACAAACUGUAGAGUUACUGGGUGGCCACCAUUUCAUGUAUCAGAGGCACAUGGUGAGAACAAUGGAUUGCCGGC